UACGAAGGGGGCUAGCGUUGCUCGGAAUUACUGGGCGUAAAGGGCGCGUAGGCGGCACUGUUAGUCAGGCGUGAAAGUCCUGGGCUCAACCUGGGAACUGCGCUUGAUACGGCAGAGCUAGAGGAUGGAAGAGGCUCGCGGAAUUCCCAGUGUAGAGGUGAAAUGCGCAGAUAUCAGGAGGAACACCAGCGGCGAAGGCGGCGCUCUGGGCCGGUACUGACACUGAGGAGCGAAAGCGUGGGUAGCAAACAGG
rnacentral:rRNA from 1 species